rnacentral:rRNA from 1 species
CCUACGGGUGGCUGCAGUGAGGAAUAUUGGUCAAUGGGCGCGAGCCUGAACCAGCCAAGUCGCGUGAGGGUAGAUGGUCCUAUGGAUUGUAAACCUCUUUUGUCGGGGAGCAAAAGACGCCACGCGUGGCGUUCCGAGAGUACCCGCAGAAAAAGCACCGGUUAACUCCGUGCCAGCAGCCGCGUUAAGACGGGGGAUGCGAGCGUUAUCCGGAUUUAUUGGGUUUAAAGGGUGCGUGGGGGGAAGUUUAAGUCCGCGGUAAAAUCGAGGGGCUAAAGCGCUUUGAGCCGUUGAAACUGGUGAGCUUGAGUGGGCGUGAAGUGGGCGGAAUGCGUGGUGUAGCGGUGAAAUGCAUAGAUAUCACACAGAACACCGAUUGCGAAGGCAGCAUA